rnacentral:rRNA from 1 species
AUUGAACGCUGGCGGAGGGCCUAACACAUGCGAGUCGAACGAGUGGAGGAAGGGUGAGUAAUGUCUGGGAAACUGCACGAUGGAGGGGGAUAACUAAUGGAAAAGGUAGCUAAUACCGCAUACCAUCGGAUGUGCCAAGAGGGGAUUCGCUAGUAGGUGGGGUAACGGCUCACCUAGGCGACGAUCCCUAGCUGGUCGGAGAGGAGGACCAGCCACACUGGAACUGAGACACGGUCCAGACUCCUACGGGAGGCAGCAGUGGGGAAUAUUGCACAAUGGGCGCAAGCCUGAUGCAGCCAUGCCGCGUGUAUGAAGAAGGCCUUCGGGUUGUAAAGUACUUUCAGCGAGGAGGCGUUACUCGCAGAAGAAGCACCGGCUAACUCCGUGCCAGCCGCCGCGGUAAUUC